UGAGGAAUAUUGGUCAAUGGGCGCAAGCCUGAACCAGCCAUCCCGCGUGCAGGAAGACGGCCCUAUGGGUUGUAAACUGCUUUUCCAAGGAGAGAAACUUGCGUACGCGUUGCGCAAUUGACGGUACCCUGGGAAUAAGCAUCGGCUAACUCCGUGCCAGCAGCCGCGGUAAUACGGAGGAUGCGAGCGUUAUCCGGAUUCAUUGGGUUUAAAGGGUGCGUAGGCGGACUAUUAAGUCAGUGGUGAAAUCCUGCAGCUUAACUGCAGAACUGCCAUUGAUACUGAUAGCCUUGAGUUUGGUCAAGGUAGGCGGAAUGUGUAAUGUAGCGGUGAAAUGCUUAGAUAUUACACAGAACACCAAUUGCGAAGGCAGCUUACUGAGCUAUAACUGACGCUGAUGCACGAAAGCGUGGGGAGCGAACA
rnacentral:rRNA from 1 species